rnacentral:rRNA from 1 species
GAUGAACGCUGGCGGCGUGCUUAACACAUGCAAGUCGAACGGAAAGGCCCUGCUUUUGCGGCGUUCUCGUGUGGCGCACGCGUGUGUAACACGUGUGUAACCCCCCCUUAUCUGAGUGAUAACUUCAGGAAACUGGGGCUCAUACCCCAGAGGAUCUCCUGCUCCGUGGUGUGUGUUGGAGAGUUUCGGCGGUUGUGGAUGGACUCGCGGCAUCUCCGCUUUAUGGUGAGGUAGUGGCUUACCAAGCCUAUGAAGGGUAGCCGGCCUGAGAGGGUGACCGGCCACAAUGGGACUGAGAUACGGACCAGACUCCUAUGGGAGGCAGCAGUGGGGAAUAUUGCACAAUGGGGGGAAGCCUGAUGCAGCGACGCCGCGUGCGGGAUGACGGCCUUCGGGUUGUAAACCGCUUUCGAAUGUGAUGAAGCGAGAGUGACGGUACCGGGUAAAGAAGCACCGGCUAACUACGUG